CCACCAAGUACAGCAUAGACACGGUCGAGUUCCGGUUUUGACGUCAGCCGUGUGACGUCACAGCAGCCCGAGCGCCGCGUUGCAGACAUGGAGGAGGUGAGAGUGUUUCCGCUGUCAUGCGUGGUCCAAAACUAUGCCUGGGGGAAGUUAGGGCUGGACAGUGAGGUGGCUAAGCUGGUCCUGGGUGGAGAUCCUCAAACUGUCAUACAGGAUGACAAACCAUACGCAGAGCUUUGGAUGGGUGCCCACCCUAAGGGAGAUGCUCUUAUCAAAGACAACAGAAUAUCGCAGAGGACACUAGGGCAGUGGAUCGCUGAUUACCCAGCAUGUUUGGGGUCAAAGGUCAAAGACACAUUCCACGGACAGCUCCCGUUCCUGUUCAAAGUGCUGUCAGUCAACACUGCGCUAUCCAUCCAAGCUCAUCCCAACAGAGAGCUAGCAGCUAAGCUACAUGCCCAAUUCCCUGAGCACUACCCUGACAACAACCAUAAGCCCGAGAUGGCGAUUGCACUGACUGAGUUUGAAGGCCUCUGUGGUUUUCGCCCACUGGAGGAAAUCAUUUCCUUUCUCAAAAAUGUCCCAGAAUUCCAUGCUCUGGUAGGUAAUGAGGCAGCAGAUGAGCUGCAGUGCAGCAGGGAUAACCCUGCACGUGCCUGUCUUGCCCUGAAGAAGUGCUUCAGCAGGAUGAUGAACUGUGAGAAGAAAGUUUUUGUAGAUCAGCUGAACAUGCUGGUGAAAAGAGUCUCUGAAGAAGAGGCUGCAGGCAAAGACACAUCAGCCAAUAACGGAGAGCUGCUGCUUCGGCUCCACUCCCAGUACCCGGGUGAUAUCGGCUGUUUCUCCAUCUACUUCCUGAACCAUAUCGUGCUGAAACCAAGACAAGCCAUGUUUCUGGGAGCAAAUGAACCUCAUGCCUACCUGUCUGGAGACUGCAUCGAGUGCAUGGCCUGUUCAGAUAACACAGUGCGUGCUGGACUGACCCCGAAAUACAUCGAUGUGAACACGUUGUGUGAAAUGUUGAACUACAGUCCUGCUCCAGCCAGUGCCAAAAUCUUUCCCUCAGUUCAGGACCCUUCAGACCCCUGCGUUCACAUGUACGACCCACCUGUAUCAGACUUCACCGUCAUGAGGAUACAGUGUCCUGUGGUAGACUGAUGUCCAAUCACAAUGCACUCAGUGUUCCCAGGAUAGGAUCCAAAGUGCAACCCUGACCAGGAUAAAGCUUCAUCAUCAUCUUAAAAUGUCCCUCCCUCCCUAAAGCAGUACACAAUGAGCCCGUUGGACUGUGCAUCCAUCCUGUUAGUGAUUCAGGGCGAAGCCAGCGCUCUGUCAGACAUCAUGCUGCACAGGGGUUCUGUGCUGUUCAUCUCAGCCAAUGAGAGCGUCACACUGCAGGUGACAUCAUCUUCUGGGAUGACGAUGUUUCGGGCCUGCUGUCUUCUCUAAGCACGGAUGUGAUCCAGAGCAAACAGGAUGUGUUUUGCUCUCACUGAUAAGUUCAGUAUGUAGUUUUAAACGUUUACUUUUGUUUUAAUGUUCCUUAUUCAGCAGCAACUCCAAAGGGAAAAGAACCACUGAGGAUAGAACACACAUUUCAGCAAUAUACCAACUGAUAGGAAUCAGUCUAGUGAGAUCUCUCUCUCACACACAUACAAACACACACACAUACAUACAUAUACAUAUAUACACACACACACAGGAGGUGUCCUUUGCUUGUGGUCCCUUCCUUUAAACCAUAUAGUGUCUGAAUCGAGGUAUUUAUAUUUUAAUAACAGGAUGAUGAAAUGAUAAAGUGCCAGUUUCUCAUUACGAACAUAUUAAGGACAUAUUUAAAGACAGAGCAUGACAAAAUCAAGAUUGCUUUUGUGUGUGCCUGAAGAAAAGUUACUCGAAAGUUAUAUCGAUUAUGACUUUUUUUCCCCUCCUCCUUAUUAAUUAAUUAUAAAGCAUGCGCUUUAAAAAAAAAAAAAAAAAAGCAGCCCACUCACACGGCCGAUGUCACAUCGCGCACUACAAUUAGAUUCAUCAUUUGAAUGCGCAGAUGCAUGUUUUAUGUUUAAUAACUAGCUGACUUUAAAAUUAACAUCCAGACGGAUCAUCAUUACAGCUUGCAUUAAGGUUAUGCUUAAUGUAAGGGAAAGAAAUUCUUCACCGGGAAAUGUUUUAAUCUACAAAACAAAGAAGCACAUGCUCCGUCUGCAAUCUUGUCACUCUCACACAAGUGAAACACAAUUCAGGGAAUUUUUAAUUAUUAAAAAAAAUAUCUACUGGAAAAUUUAGAUUAUUUUUUUUCUUUUUUUCCAAAAAGCUAAACUGCUUUUACACUCUUUUAUCUGCUGAUAUAGUAGGUUUACUCUGUCUAACAGGCUGCUUUGACAGAUAUACUGUAUACUGUGAAAGAGGAAAGCGGUGAUCAAGUUGCUGAUAGUGUUUUUACAUGACUCGUGUUUGUAUGAGUGUGAAAGCUGUAACUGGUACAAACCGUCCUCUCUACAAGUCCCUCUGAGAGUCUUUGUGCUUUCCCAGAUACUGCUCUUUGGGAUUAAUUGGGAUUAAUCUUAAUAUUUGUUUACUGUAAACUCUGUGCACUUUUACGUGAGUUCGCCCAAGAAGGUUCCGUCCAAGUUCCUCAGUCUGCGCCUCAAUCCGAUUUCAGUGUUUGCUACUUCCAGUGAAGGUUUGGAAUAAAAGCAUGGAUUAGCAUUUUUUAAUCUACUGUGGCAUGAGGCUGCCGAAACGCUACAUAAACCCUAAUAAACUACAAUUCUGUAUGAA